GUCAGAUGAGCAGCUGCACGGGUCGAUCUCAAGAAACUAAAAUAUUUAUUAAGAGGAAAAAGUUCAGAUUCAAAACAGUGAUUUAAAACAAAUUAUUGGAUUCCUGAAGUGAUGCGAUAACUUGGAAAAGCUGUCGCUAGAGUGAGGAGAGAGCAAAAUAGAGAAUUAGAACGGAGGCAGAUGCAGAAUCACAGAGCAUCAAAACACUGCGAAUGAACUUCUUCUUUUAAAUAAGAAGUUAAAAUGUAUGCUUUGGCUGGGUUUUUUUGUGAGAAUUUCGAACAUCUGUAAAGUUCUCCUGCUCCAUCUUGGACACGCGAGACAAUUAAGUGAAGGUGUAUACAAAAAGG